AUUUGACAAAAGAAAUUAGGAGGCCUAUGGAUCUGUUUGGGAGCCAGCUUUCCGUUUGAAGAGAGAAACCGAGGGAGAUUGGUCGUCGGAGAUGAAUAAGAGAUUCGGCGGAGGGAGUAAGCCGACGGGAACUCCGUCGCUCGCUUGGUCCUGCGUUGUAGUUGUUGCUUCGUUACUCACCGGCGCCUCCGUUGUCCACAACUUCUUCAAACCUGAUUUGACCCUACCACCAGUAGAAAGCAUUGAUGGGGCUAAGCAAGAACAAGAGAAGAAACAAUAAUUGCCUUCUCAACCAUCCUUUGUUUGUCCCAGUUUGAUAGACUUGGAAUUGCUGGAAACUCCUGCACAGAAAUGAAGUUGAAUAGUAUCCGCUUAUGAAAGCUUCAGGUUGUUAAAUAUUUGAUAUUUCAGCAGCAGGUUUAUGUACUUGGAAGAACCUGUCCAGUAACACUAUAGAGACAAUUUUUUAUCUGUUUUUUUUUUAA